GAUGAACGCUGGCGGCGUGCUUAACACAUGCAGGUCGAACGGUGAAAGAGAGCUUGCUCUCUGGAUCAUUGGCGAACGGGUGAGUAACACGUGAGCAAUCUGCCCCUGACUCUGGGAUAAGCGCUGGAAACGGCGUCUAAUACCGGAUACGAGCUCGGAAGGCAUCUUCAGCAGCUGGAAAGAACUUCGGUCAGGGAUGAGCUCGCGGCCUAUCAGCUAGUUGGUGAGGUAACGGCUCACCAAGGCGUCGACGGGUAGCCGGCCUGAGAGGGUGACCGGCCACACUGGGACUGAGACACGGCCCAGACUCGUACGGGAGGCAGCAGUGGGGAAUAUUGCACAAUGGGCGAAAGCCUGAUGCAGCAACGCCGCGUGAGGGAAGACGGCCUUCGGGUUGUAAACCUCUUUUAGCAGGGAAGAAGCGAAAGUGACGGUACCUGCAGAAAAAGCACCGGCUAACUACGUG
rnacentral:rRNA from 1 species